GCCUAGUUAGACUCAGUGGUAGAGCAUUCGGCUGUUAACCGAAAGGUCGCUGGUUCGAGCCCAGCACUAGGCG